GAUGAACGCUGGCGGCGUGCUUAACACAUGCAAGUCGAGCGAAGCGCUAUUGCGGAUUUCUUCGGAUUGAAGCAACUGUGACUGAGCGGCGGACGGGUGAGUAACGCGUGGGUAACCUGCCUCAUACAGGGGGAUAACAGUUGGAAACGGCUGCUAAUACCGCAUAAGCGCACAGUACCGCAUGGUACGGUGUGAAAAACUCCGGUGGUAUGAGAUGGACCCGCGUCUGAUUAGGUAGUUGGUGGGGUAACGGCCUACCAAGCCGACGAUCAGUAGCCGACCUGAGAGGGUGACCGGCCACAUUGGGACUGAGACACGGCCCAAACUCCUACGGGAGGCAGCAGUGGGGAAUAUUGCACAAUGGGGGAAACCCUGAUGCAGCGACGCCGCGUGAGCGAAGAAGUAUUUCGGUAUGUAAAGCUCUAUCAGCAGGGAAGAAAAUGAC
rnacentral:rRNA from 1 species